rnacentral:lncRNA from 1 species
UCACUCCUACUAGUUCUUGAUGAACUUUAUUAUAAGUACUUUAUACAUAAGAUCGAUGAAAUUAAUUAAAGAGUAAUUAAUUAGGCCCCAUAAUACAUCAAUUAUUAUUUCUUAGAUAGCAACAUCAUAUAAGAUAUGUGAGUAAGGUAAGAAUCAAUGUUCUUACUCAUCUCAACUACCAAUUGCAACAAGGUGUGAGGAUCAGGAAUGUGGUUUUCUUGUUUCUCAAACACCAGUGUCCACUGCACCACACUGCCAUUUCCCUUUGGAGUAACUUGUAAAUUAAGUUUGAAGCUCUUUUUUCUUUGGAGUAACUUGCAAAUUAAAUUUAAAGCUCUUGUAAAGUCCCAACAGGUCUUCCUCUAAAACUUUGAAUUACAAUUUUCCCUAUCUAUGUCGUCAACCACCUCCCUUGCCACAACUUUGUUAUAAACUUAUUUCUCUCUAAUUUAUCAAAAACUUGGCAUCAAUAAUCACAAUGUCUCAAAUUAUUCAUGUAAAUAUUAUUAUAAAACUGAUUUUCUUUUAAUCCUUGAAAAUAAAUUGAAUGUGAAUAAAUAAAUAAAAGAAUAUAAUGCAUAAAAAUAAUACUUGAGUGUUACUAAAGACGUCAAAUAAUAUGGUUAAGCAAAUCAGAUUAUGACUAUCAUAAGAGAAAUUGCAAGGAAUGCAAUGUUUUGUUAAUAAACACUACAAGAAAAUCAUUAAAUCAAUUUUAGAAAAAAAAUAAUUAGUUUUUAUAUUGAUUAAAUUAGAUACUAUUUUAGAUACUAAAAAGAAUUAUUAGUAUCUUAAUUAGUUUUUAUUAUUGAUAAAUAAUUCCUAAAUUGAUAUCUAAUUAGUUACCAGGAUUUUAGCUGGGAAGUAUUUAGAUUUUAAAGUUGGUAGCUAAUUAAAUACCGAUUUAAAAACUAUUUAUCAAUAAUGAAAACUAAUUUAAAUAUCAAUAAUAAUUUUUUUUAGCCUCUAAAAUAUUAUCUAAUUUAGUCAAUAUAACAACUAAUUAUUUUUUGUCUCUAAAAUUGAUUUCUAUUUAAUGAUUUUCUAGUAAUGAAUUUAGAAACUAAAGUUUGCAUACCAAGUGUGUAAUUCCAGGAAAUGAUGGAUCCCUCAGUGCCCCAUUCUCCUUUGUGGAUUUGAACAGACUGUAUUUUUUGAGGUAAAAUGUUGGCAAUAUGGUGUGGCCUGUUGCAAAAAACAUCAUAGAACUGUUGGGCAGAAGCCUUGAGAUGGACAUUAGUUUCAAUCUUUUGAAGUUGAGAGCAUGCCAUUUUUGCCUCACUCCUAAGAAGGUAUGAAAAAUAUAUGUGGACAAUACACCUAUAUAUACUUCUCUUCUCUUGAAUUUGUCUUGUUGGAAUAUCCUAACAACAUAUAUUAUUUAUUAAGAGUUUUUGUUCUAUUAUAUGAAAAUAAAAAUAUAUUUAAAAUAUUUAAUAUAAGUUUUUAAUAAAAAAAUAAUUAGUUAUGGAAGGAAUAUAUGUGAUAUGUGAGCCCAUAAAUGAAAGGAAUAUAUGUGCUUUGAAGUUUAUAUGUGCUUUGAAGUUUCAGCUGAACCACCACUAGUGGAGGAGGCAUCUUCUUUCCUUUAGAUUUUAUGGGCUCACAUGGCAGAAAAGGGAUAACCAUGAUUCAAAGUUCAUAAUAAAAAUGGCAAGUGCAUAUUGUAAGUGCUGAUAGAAUUUUAAUUCUCCAUGUUACUAAAACAUUAUUUUAAUCCAUAGUGUAGAAUAUUCUAGUUUCUCCCAAUCUGAUUUUUUUUCUCUCUAGAAAUUUAUACUUAAAUUAAGUGUUAGCAUGUUUGAGAAUACAUUGAAGUUAGUUCUCUUCACACAAAUAAUUGAAGGUUAGCUUAAUUUAAUAUUUUGUAUAAGUAAUGUGAUUAUUUUACUCUAAUCACAAGUUUAGUCAAGACACCACCCUUGGUAAAAAAAAACUGUGGUUAGUGGUAGAUAAAAAAAAGGAAAAUUUCCUUAUGACACCACUAUUUAAAAAUACAUCUAUUCCACAACUAUUUUUUAUAUUAAAAUAAUAACUUUAUAUGGAUAUCAAAUGAAUGAAAUAAUAAUUUUAUACGGAUAUCAAAUGAAUGAAAAAAAAAUUAAUGAUAAAUGAUUUAAUGUAGCUAAUAAACUCCAAGCAUAAAAGUUUUAAAAUCUAUACUUAUUGUAGUAAUAUCAAACUCAUGAAUUCACUUAAUUUUAAUCGAAUCAAAUUUUUUUUCGCUCUAACAUAAGUUUUUAUUAAAAUAAAAUAAUGUUCAUUAAUUAUAUAUAUAUAUAUAUUCGAUAUUUUACUCCUAUAUUUAGUAGAAAUGUUAAGUAACUCAUAAGGGAAUAGUUAUUGUUUUAAGUGAAAGGUUAGGACCGGUUAAAGCACAUUAUUAAACCAAAAAGAAAGUAAACCAAAAAGAAAGUAAAGAGAAUUACAAGAAAUAUAAAAGGAUUGCCAAAACUUAUGAAAGAAAAAAAAAUUGUCUCACAAAAUGAAAAAAAAAGGAGAGAUUUGUCUUAUUUUGAAUAAAGUCAUAAGCUAUGAGUUUUUUUGGGAUGAUUGUUUUCACUUAGGUUAAAAAGUAUAAUGAGAUUGAUUUACUGUGAUAAUGAGUGAGACUCGUAAGAGUGUAGGUUAAAUAGUCUCUCAUUCUUUUGUAUCUCAUUCUUUGUAUAUAGUUUGGAACAUUUCUUAAAUAUUUCACUUUAAUUUUAAUUUAUCUUUUAUAUUAAAUAAUACAUUUCUUAUUGAAAGUCUAAAGAAAAGUCACAUUCAAUCUAUAAAAAAUGUCAUUCCAUUUUUACGAUGUACUCCAAAGCAAAUAUGAUGGAAAAUAUUACAACAACAAGAACUAACUUUGUAUUUGUAGAAUGUGGUUAGGUCAUAAUACUAGUCACUUUGCAUGUAUUAUGAGCAAUCUCUAUGAUUCUAUUUAUGUUUAAUCUUAAACAUUGUUACAUAUUUAAGUUAGUGCCAACAAUCCUAUACUUAUAUUAGUUGACUAGGUGAUUAGGUUCAAAAAAGAAAAUAAGAAGAAAAUACUCUAAGAGCAAACACAUUUCAUGAUUUAAUGGGGAUGACACAUAUUUGGAUCUUUUUAGCAAGACAAUUGGAUGAAACAAAUAUGUCUAUUUUGGAAUAACUCAAUUUGGAUUAUAUGUGAAUAGAAACUAAUUUUAGAAAAAAAAAUAAUUAGUUACUAUAUUUACUAAAUUAAAUAUUAAAAUAAUUAUUUUAGUCUCUAAAAUAGUAUCUAAAAAAAAUUAAUUAUUUUUUGUUUUUAAAAUUAAUUUCUAUUUUUUUGCCUCAAUCUUAAUUUUUAAAUAUUGUAUUCAUUAUUUCUUAUGGAAUUUGUGCUCGAAAAUGACACUGAACCACUCUUUGAUUUCUUAUCCAGAUUCUAGUAAUAAUUGGUUUUUAAAUUGAUAUUUAAUUAUUAGUUAUCAAAAUUUUAGCUUACUCACAACUUUAUAUUCUAACUUUAUAUCUAUUAGUCUUUUAGAGAUUAAUUUAGAAUUUAAAGUAUUAGUAACUAAAAUCUUGAUAGCUAAUUUAGAUAAUAAUUUAAAAAUUAUUUUAUAAAUUUUUAUUAAUAAUAGAAAUCACUUUAGUUACAAAUAAUUUUUUAAUCUCUAAAAUAGUAUCUAAUUUAGUUAAUAUAGUUAAUAUAGUGAUUAAUUAUUUUUUGUCUCUAAUUUUAGUUAUUAUUUGAUAAAUUUUUUAGUGUAAAAUAUAUAGUUUUUGAAAAUUUAUGGUAGAUAUGAUUUAUUAAAAUAAGUAAAAUAUAUUUGUUCAUUACUAUUUAUAAUUGAAAGUAAUUUAUAUUUUAUUGUUGGGAAAGUUCACAAAUUUGUAAGAAGCUGAACUUGAAAAGCUAUUUUCGGAAAACAUUUUUAAGGAAUAUUAUUUUUUUAAAGCAUCAAUCAAAAACCUUGAAACAAACAAUUCUUAACUUCUUAUUUAUGAGAAACUACUUUUUCUUUAUAUUAAAUAUUUCUAAUAUUUCUUAUGCCUCAUUUAAUCAAAUUAUUAUUGUCGAUAAAAAUAAAUCACCCCAAAUAUUUUUAUGUUAAAAUAAAAAUAUUAUUUUUAUAUCUUAAUUGAGGGACUUUCGCCUUUUUUGUGAAUACAAGUUGUUAAAGCGAAUGUGUGUUGCUCAAAUGACACAUCUCUAAUUUGAAUUAUAUGCUAUUAUAUAUAUAUAUAUAUAUAUAUAAUCAUUGAAUUAAUGUGUAUGAAAUGAAUGGAUACAUUGAGAUAUAUGAAGAUUGAAUUGAGGGAAUAAAAAAUUAAUAUUUGGGAUGGUAACAUAGUCAAGUUAUUUUCGUUGUUUUAAGUGUAAGAGUCCGUAAGAGAAUAAGAUAUUGUAAUUUUACUAAAUAGUUUAAAUCACAUAUAUUAAGGUAUCCCACAAAAUGAGAAACAAAAGAAGGUUAUUACGUCAAGUUUUCAUAUCGUAAGCACAAAAAAUCACCUCAACAUAAGAAUUGAGGUUGAAUUACCAAAAUUACUUAAUAUGAAUAUUCUAGAAAGGGUCAAGUUUGUAGCAAAAUUAUCUUGAUGCUAUAAGAGAUACAAUGUGUGUGUGUGUUGACUUUUAAAAUAAAUAAAAAAAACAUUAGCAAGGACCAAACCCAUGUUAAAUUAAAUAAAUUUUAAAAUAUAAAACAUUAGUCUAGGUCAAGCGAACGCUAAAUGAAAUAAAUUUGUAAAUAAAAAACAUUAGUAUGGACUAAACGAACACUAAAUUAAAUAAAGUUUAAAAUAAAAAAACACUGACAUGGAUCAAGCGGACGUUAAAUUAAAUAAUUUUUAAAAUAAAAAUAUUAGUGUGGGUCAAGUUGACGCUAAAUUAAAUAACUUUUAAAAUAAAAAACAUUAGUGUCAAUCAACUAAACUGAUGCUAUACUACUUUAAUUAAAAAACUAAUUUAAAAAUGAGUGACAAAUCGAUCUUAAAAAAUCAACACUAAAGAACUUCAAAUGUGAUAUGUGCAUUAUCUACAUUGACUUUGGUAAAUUACUACCAAAAAAAUGCUUUUUUUUAUUGAUUUUUGGUGAAACGUAGGACAUAUAACAUUAUUUUUAAAAAUUAACCGAUAUAUUUUGGAAACUUUUUACGUUGUUGAUAAUCAAUAUAGAAACUUCCCUAUUUUAUAUAUAUAUAUAUAUCAAGUAACCGAUGUAAAAAUUGGUUUUUCUAGUAGUUAUUUUAAUAACUAAUAAUAUUUUAUGAUCAAAUUUAGUAAUAAUUAAUUUUGUGACCAAUUUUAAUGAUAAAAGAAAUAAAAAACUUAUUUAAAAAAAUAAUUAAAAUAAAUAAGUAUAAUAUAAAAUAUUGAGUUUAUAAUUAAAAUAAAUAAUGAUAAUAUAACGAUGUAAGGCCAUAAGUGUCAAGUAAAGACUUUUCAACCUAAUUUGAAUUAGUAGUCAUUUUAAUUAGUAAUUGAUAACUAAAUAUUUGUUAAUUUACCACUAACUAGGUUAAUAAAUAUAAGCUUAGUAACAUUUAAAAUUUUACACAAAAGUAAAGAAGAUCGUUGUAAAAUGGAUGAUUGUUGAAGUUUGAAACGAUAGCCUAGCCGAAACGUCAGACUUCAUAGUAAUAUAUAACAUAAAUUUUUAAAGAAAUAAAAAAGAUUUCAAAAUGACAAAACACCAAACACAAAUUAUACAUAACAUAAAUUUUCCUAGCUCACUCCUAUUGGUUCCUGAUGCACUUUAUUAUAAGUACUUUAUACGUAAUAUUGAUGGAAUUAAUUAAGGGAUACAUCAAAUGUUAUUUCUUAGACAUCAACAACAUAAGAUAUGAGCUUUAUUUAUAUUUGACAACUAAUGAUCUAGUUGUUCUCUUGAGUAAGGUAAGAAUCAAUGUUCUUACUCAUCUCAACUACCAAUUGCAACAAGGUGUGAGGAUCAGGAAUGUGGUUUUCUUGUUUCUCAAACACCAGUGUCCACUGCACCACACUGCCAUUUCCCUUUGGAGUAACUUGAAAAUCAGUUUUGAAGCUCUUGUAAAGUCCCAGCAAGUCUCCCUCUAAAACCUUGAAGCUCAGUUUACAGUUUUCCUUAUUUAUGCCUUCAACCACCUCCUUUGCCACAUAUUUUUUUUCAUCUGUUGUUAUCCAAACUAAAAUUUUAGAUUCUUUAUAAACUUAUUUCCCUCUAAUUUCUCAAAAAUUUGGCACCAUUAAUCACAAUGUCUCAAAUUAUUCAUGUAAAUAUUAUUAUAAAGCUAGUGUUCUUUUAAUCCUUGAAAAUAAAUCAAAUGUGAAUAAAUAAAUAAAAGAAUAUAUAAUGCAUAAAAAUAAUAUUUGAUUGAUAAUAAAGACCUUAAAUAAUAUAGUUAAGCAACUCCGAUUAUGAUGCUCAUAAGAGAAAUAGCAAGGAAUGUAAUGUUUUUUUAAUAAACACUACAAGAAAAUUAUUAAAUCAAUUUUGAAGAAAAAAUAAUUAGUUUUUAUAUUGAUUAAAUUAGAUACUAUAUUAAAGACUAAAAAGAAGUAUUGGUAUCUAAAUUAAUUUUUAUUAUUGAUAAAUAAUUCCUAAAUUGGUAUCUAAUUAGCUAUCAAGAUUUUAGUUACCCACUAUUUAGAUUUUAAAGUUGGUAACUAAUUAAAUAUCAAUUUAAAAACUAAAAUGAUAUCUAAUUUAGUUAAUAUGAUAACUAAUUAUUUUUUAUUUUUAAAAUUAAUUUUUAUUUAAUGAUUUUCUAGUAAUAAAAGUUGAGCAAUGGAAGUUUGCAUACCAAGUGUGUAAUUCUAGGAAAUGAUGGAUCCCUCAGUGCCCCAUUCUCCUUUGUGGAUUUGAACAGACUGUAUUUUUUAGGUAAAAUGUUGGCUAUAUGGUGUGGCCUGUUGCAAAAAACAUCAUAGAACUGUUGAGCAGAAGCCUUGAGAUGGACCUUAGUUUCAAUCUUUUAAAGUUGAGAGUAUGCCAUUUCUCCUUCACUCCUAAGAAG